GAGCAAAACCUUGGCAGCACAUAUACUAAAAUUGGAACGAUACAGAGAAGAUUAGCAUGGCCCCUGUGCAAGGAUGACAUGCAAAUUCGUGGAGCGUUCCUGUUCACA
ensembl:snRNA U6 U6 spliceosomal RNA